GGACACAGUACUCCAGCUGUGUUCUCACAAGAGCAGAGUAGAAAAGAAUCACCUCCCUCAACCUGCUGGCUAAGCAUAUGAUUUGUUCUCUGGGCUGUGAGCGCACACUGCUGGCUCAUACUCAGUUUUUAAUCCAUUAAUACCUCCAAGUCUUUCUCCUCAGGAUUUCUGUCAGUUCACUCAUCACUCAUCUUUCCAGAUGGAACACCUCAUACCAGUGGGAUGAAAUUGAACAUGGAGUCUCUCUGCAAAAAUCUUUUCUGCUUGGAGUUGUUCAUGUCAACUUUUUGAGACUAAGAUAUGAGUCCUCCAUGUUAGAUGUGUUA